ensembl:lncRNA
UUUUCUUGCAGCAGGAUGGUGCUUGCUUGCAAGUCAACACCGUGUUUAAUCUGCAUGCCGCCUAAGAAGCUGUGGUUUUAUUGGGUUGAACCAGGACCCUGACACAGAGAUAAGCAACCUGCCCAAAGUCACACAGCAAGUAAAUGGCAGAGAAGGAAUUCAGAUCCAAAGCCUUCCUGGGAGCUGGACUGGUGGCAGUUUCCUGAGUCUACGGGUCAGGAACUGAGGACAUGGAUUGUCUCUGCCCCACGAUGUUUGGGGCCUCAGCUGGAAGACCGGAAGCUUGGAGGGCUGAAGCCACUUGCUGGCUGGACUGAGGGUGGAGGAUUCCUUUUCCAGAUUGGCUGACUAUACUUUGUUGAGCUGACACUGAAGAGCCUGAGGACUCUUGGCACAUCAUCCUAGGUGAAAAAAUACCAAGACCGAAGGAGAAGGAAUGCCAGUAUGUCACCAAUGACCUGCUGACGGCUACAUCCACCGCCUCACCAACACACACACUUUAUCAGAGGACGUCUUCAUCAUCAGAAAAAUUCACCACUGAUGAAACACUACUUAGGACAGCC